UCCGGUGAUUAUAGCUAAGGGGUCACACCUCUUCCCAUUUCGAACAGAGAAGUUAAGCCCUUACACGCCAAUGGUACUGCACUGGAGUCGGUGUGGAAGAGUAGGUAGUCGCCGGAU
rnacentral:rRNA from 1 species